GGUAUUGGUACUGGUAGUAAGGGUGCUGGGUGUAGAGGUAUUGGUACUGGUAGUAAGGGUGCUGGGUGUAGAGGUAUUGGUACUGGUAGUAAGGGUGCUGGGGGUAGAGGUAUUGGUACUGGUAGUAAGGGUGCUGGGGGUAGAGGUAUUGGUACUGGUAGUGUGGGGGUAGAGGUAUUGUAAGAGUGACGGGUGUAUUGGUGGUAUCAGGGCAAAUGGGAAUGUUAGUAAAGUUACACCAAGUGUACUGGUACUGUAAGUGAAUGUGGAAGCAUUGGUAAGUUAGGGUAAUGUGAGCGUACUAGCACUGUUAAAAGGGGUGCUAGUGGUGAUGCUGUAUGUACUGGCACUGUUAAAUAAUGUGCGAGUAGUGGCAGAAGUGGUGAUGGCGGGUGUAUUGAUCAUUUAAGGUAAGGUGGGAAGUCAGACCACAAACUGAGGUAUAACUCCAACUUGCAUCAUGCUUUGCCAGCAUUCAUACUUUCAAAGCAUUGGUUUAAUUUUCCCCCGGUAGCUGGGGCUCUGAUUUUGUCACCCCUGCCUGUUUAAGGUAUCUUGUUACAUAUGGUUAGUUAGACAAUGAUCACAGUAAGAGAGGGUGGGAAUAUAAAGUAAGGCCCACACACGAUUAUGAAAUGGUAGUUGGGGUCCAAAGACAGAAUAUAGGAGAUGUAGUGCACGUUUUGUUGGAUUAACAUUCUAACUGAGCCAUGCCAUGCUGUUAACAAGAUCCGUGCUAUUUCAUUCUGUGCAUUCCACUUGUAAACCAUUGUUCCUUUUGAAAUACUGUGAGCCUAAAAUGCAUUGUUCUUGUUUGUGUAAAAGCCACUAAUCAAUCGUUGAAAUGAUUGGUCCCCUUUUAUUGUUUAACUUUUCAUUUCUUCAGAC